UGUUAGCAGAGCAGGUUAGCGUGUUAGCAGAGCAGGUUAGCAUGUUAGCAGAGCAGGUGGAAACAGACAUGCCAAGAAAUCUGCGGUGGCUGUGGUGAGGAUGGACAGCAUGACAGAAGACACUGCUAGUCAGAUAUCUGGAACAUUAAAACAAUAUAAAACAUAAAACGUCUCGGUGUUCUGGGUCCAUAACGGCCAGAAAAGAUGAGGCAGAUGAUAUUUAUCUGCUGCAGGUUCCACAAAAUGUGGCAGAAAGGUACAAAUAUGUCUGCAUGGAACAGAUUAAUGCAGCAGAGCUGCAAACAAAGUUCAUGCAAUUAAACCAAAAUAAAAAAACACCA